rnacentral:tRNA from 1 species
GCCCCCAUCGUCUAGAGGCCCAGGACGCCACCCUUUCAAGGUGGAGAUCACCGGUUCGAAUCCGGUUGGGGGUACCA